AGAAGGGGGCAGAGGUGGAAGUUGGUGAGGUUUCUAGAGUGUUAGUUUUUUUUUUUUCCCAAGAAACACCACGAGCAACACCCAAUUCAAACGGGCCUUUAAUCAUAUUUUCUAUUAAGUAGAUGUUUGCUUUCUUUAUUCCUUUAUCUUGAUUGGCUGUUAAGAACACUGCUGCAUCAUAUACUUGCAUCGAUUGUGGACGAAGGACUUCAGUUCCAUAUCGUGCACAAGGCUUUCUCCUUUUUUUUCUGUGUAAAAAAAAGCAUUAAUGUAAAGUUUAAAUUGUAGUCACCUUAGCUAGCAAGUAGGUCUGCAGGGUAGAAUUGUACGUGUUCAAAUUCCAUUGUCUGUACACUUGUCCCGUGUUGAUGUGGUGAACUAAUUUAGAUUCCUAAAUUAAGAUAUUAGCAAGGUCAUAUGUUUUGCUCAUAAGAGUUUAGAUGGACUUAGCAGCAUCAACUAAGUGAAUUUACAGAAAUCAUAGUCUUAUAGAGAGUGGAAAUUUUGGGUGGAAUGUAGCGAGGAUGUAAAUCUUUGUCUUGCUUUCCUUUUCCCCGAGUCCAGUCUCCUAUUUCCUAUGAUCAAAACACUUAAAUUAUAUGAAGUUUCUCCUCAAUAAUCCUUUCCUUUGUUUCUCAAUAUAUUUCUUUGACUUGUAUCAUCCUUUAUACUUCCUUUUUGAACUAAUGUAUAGGUCUAGUUAUCUCUUAUAGCGAUACCAGUCCUCUGAUACCAGAUUUUGGAUCCAGUGAGUACAAGUUUUUCGAUGGGACUUAGCUAACUAUAUUUUGGAUGUCUUUGUUCUUUGUUCUAUUCUAAUUGCAUGCUGCUAUUUAUCGGCAUUGACUAAUGCAGAAAUGCAGAUUUAUUUAUAGAGAGUUGCCAUCCCAAGUAGCUCAAUCGUGGAGGAUGGAGAUGGGUGGAAUACUUAAAGGCAAUCCAGUUCCAGUUUAAUAGAUGCAAUGCUUUUAGGCCUACUUGAGCUAUGCGAGAUGUAAAUGGAUAAGCCAUUUCGGGCAAUUCAAUGGAAGAACCAAAGAGAUACGUUUGCAGUGGACAAGUUGUUGAAUCUGCCAAGUCUUCUGCAUCUGUCUCAUCAUGCUGCUUGUUGCUAAAGAAGGGUUGCUGCAAGCUGACUGAUGUUGGAAAGGAGCUGAAUGGAGGAAAUGGAAGUAAAAAGGGGAAUAAGUCCUUGAAAAAGGAAGAAUUGAUUUAUCUUGUAACCAUGAUUGCUUGUGCAUGAAAAUCUAGGUUUUCCUAGAAGAGUCUUGGUAGAUAAUACUGUAUAGAGGAGAACAUCGAGAAAAGUACAAAACCUGUUGGCCUUCCUUGUCAAAAUUGUACUAUGUGGCCAAGUUGAGUUGCUGCAGACCCAUGUGUUGGUGAUGCUAAACUGGGAUGAAUUGGAUUAGUUUUAUUCCAAGACUUCUUCCUUCCCUGCACUACAUCUUGGUUGAUGAACGAAGAGUCUCAUGCUGUAGCUUUUCUGCUGAUUAUGGUUUUGAUUCAUAACUAAAAGAAUUCAUGGUUUAAGACAAAAAGUGCUGAAGCAGCUGAGCAAAAGUUGUUGCAAUGACAGGAAUGUAGCUUUUGACCAGAAGAUGAUGAAGAUGCCUAAAACUGAUAGGAUUCGAGUGAUCAGUUAUAGGGAAACUGGAAAGUGUUGCUGAACUCAGCAUGGAUAUCUUGAUGCAAUGUGCUUGAAGCUUUGUGUACUGCAACAGCCAAAAAGAAUGUAGAGAGAAGAUCCAUAAGAGAGUAACACUAAAGAUCCAUAAGAGCAGAUCAAGUGGUCAUUAGCCCUGGAAAAGAAAAAUGCGAGCGGCCCUGGUUUUGAUGGUCAUGAUUCCCUUAAGAAUGAAGGGUUUCUGGUUUUUGUGGAAAACCACGAAUGUUAUGCUCUAGAUGCAACGGUAUAAACCAUGCCAUCCAAAGAUCCUCUUACAUGUUGGAUGAUUGUUGGUCACGUAAAGAACAAGUUUGCUAAAUUCAUCUGUAGAUAUGGAGUAUAUGCAGUUUGCAGAUGCAAAACAUUUGAAAUCAAGGGACAAUUCAUUGAGAAAACUCUUCAUGUACUUCGGUUGCCGACCUGUCGAGGGAGGACGGAUGCAUUAUUAUCUUAAACAGCUAUCCUUGGAGUUUCUGGUUGCAAUUUGCAAGCACGAUAAUCUCACAGAGUGACUCCUAUCAAAUCAUUUUACAAACAGGUUUGGUAUUUUAUGCUUAACCAAAUGUAUUGGAGUUGAAUUAUUAAGCACAAAGUUCAACGUUUAUGGAACUAGGGAUAAUAUUCUUCUGUCAUAUCUUGUACUAA